AACAUAAGUCUUCCAAGUAUGGAAACUAACACAAUAUUUUCUAACAUAAGAUUGUUAGAAAUAACUGUUUCCCAGUAUUACCUACCUGUCCCAGAUGUCCUGUGAGGUAGUAUUUUCUUUAAUCCCCAAAGCACGUUAGACGUAACUUUCAACAUACUUCACUAAAGGAUGUCCAGGAUCCCUCGUCCUUAUGUUUCUAAGAGUCUGCAGGGAAUGCUUUCAAUGUUCUGGUUUUUACUGUUUUAGUUUGUUUUUUAAUUAAUUAAUUUUGGCCUGGUACAUUUCCCUUUAGCACAAUCCAUUGGAAUGCAAUUAUAUAUGACAUCAAUAUAUAACCCAGAAUUUUGGUUAUUCAGGGUUCCAAAACACUACACAAGGACUUCAAAAGAACAGUAGGGGUUGUGUCCAGGCAUCCUGGCGUGGACAGUGCCUCCACCACAACAUCAAGUGGUAAAGAUAUGCUUCCAUGUCCAACCAUAACCUUUCAGUCCCUAUUGGACACUGAAUGUUUGGAAAAAAAAUUGUCUGACUGACGGAUGGAUGACCCUAUCCAGCAUCAUGAUUUAAAAUUGUAAGUGAAAACAAACAGUUGAAUUUUUUUUAUUCAAUAUUCACUUCUGGAUUUACCUUUAAAAGCAGCUCAACCGUUGCAGAGUUAAGUAUCCUAAUUAAUUACAC
rnacentral:lncRNA from 1 species